AUGCGAUUUCACGUCCUCCAGUAACAUGUCGUUAGACUUCAAAGGGGGACAUGUGUGUGGCUUAUUGCAGAUGCCUCUUGGUGGGCAAUUAGAGAUGGAAGCGACCAAGCCUCAGGAUUUGGAGACUGGGAGAGGGCAGUUCAAAGAGGGAGGGGAAGAAAAUAAAACGCAGGCUGCGAUCCCGAAAUCACCUAAGCCAGACUGAACAACAGGCUGCCAGUCGCCGCUUCGAAGCGCUCUGAGGCUGAGCCAAACAGCAGCGCUAGUCUUGUCCCGUCCCACCCAGCUGCGAAUCCAGAUGGGUCUCCCCGGGGAGCUCAAGAGAAGGGAAGCGGGGAGGGGUCGGGUACCUUUGCCGUGCUGGAGGUGGUAUUCCGCGUUGUCAGGGGCGCAGUCCGGGGUGCAGCUCACCUCGAUUUCCUCAUAGAAAUCCGAUUCGGUGUCGGAACUGCUUUGGGGGGCUUUGGUGGGGGAAAGGCGGUGGAGGGAGGUCUGCUGAUUAGCAGAAAGAAGCGCUGCUGCUGCUGAGCGAUUCUCCGGGACGGUCCCUGGCGCUGGCAAGCCCCCCACAAAUCCUACGCGUUUAAGAACCAUAGACUAACACCUGACCCUUAAUCCAUUCUUUAUGCUGUGACAUAUGGACCUACUACUUUGUAUGGAACAAGCUGGUAUCAAUUUCAUUAGCAGGAGGAAAGGGGUUCAAUGCCUUCCAAGGGGGAUCCUCAAGACCAGUGCUGCAGCCUUAUUGGUAUUUACAACAUUUGAGUUAAUUGAAGAAUAACCUGAUUAAAAUUAAAAAUUGGCCCCACCAAAUGGAAUUCACUGAGUUAAAAGCAGCAUUGAGAUGUGCUGUCUCUUUUAUGUAAUCAUACAUCCUCCACUCCAGGAAGGAUAAUUCAGGAGGGAGAGAAAAUGUGUAAUUGUUCUGCCCACCUUGGAAUAAGAAAUUAUCAGAUAUACCUUGAGAUAUACCAGUAAUCAAGUUCUACAUUGCCAAUGGCUGGUAGGGGGCACAACCAAGGGCAAGAAACUAAAGACAGGGCUUAUUCAUAAUACAUUAAAACUGUACAGAAAAGAAGGCUUGAAUCCAUGUGGACUAAUAGGCAUUAACAUUUCUGCCUCUCCUUCUUUUACUUUUAGUAUGUUUAGUUGAGACUUUGGUGGUAAAGAAUAUGAUUUUAUUCUAAUCUUGGUUGAGAGCCAGGCCUGAACAUGCAAUUUGCUGAUAUGGAAUAUGAAAAGAACAUUUCCUCCUGCUGUUAACUGUAAACCUUAUGUUGAUUUAUUUGUAUUGGUCCAAUUUGUAUUCUGCAUUUCCUCCAACAGUUCAGAAAUGAGUCCAUGGGAAUCUCUCUUCAUUUCAUUCCCAGGACACAAUCCUGAAAGGUAGAGUGGCUGUAGCUGGCUCCACAGCAACCAGUGGUCAUCCAGCAUUAAGGAAAGAGAUGAACUUGAGUCUUCUAAGUCCUACCUAGUCUAAAAAUUCCCUCUUAAAACUAAGAGUAGUUCUAGAUAAGGGUUCUUCUCAUUCUCAAAGAGGCUACAAAUUUGCAAUUCUUUCCAUCUGAACCAGCAAUACAUUGCCCAUUAGAAGAAUGAUUUUAAUCAGAGUUGCCCCUUGAUUCUCUUGGAUUUACAUUAUAUGAUGAGACCUGAGAAGUCUCCUCCACCAAGGUCCCUCCCUGACUUCUGACUUUAAGGAUUUGUACUUUCUGGAUGUAUAAAUCCAAUAGAAAUGGCUUUGUCCUGAACCUGCCCAGUGCUGAAGCAAUCCCCAGUGUUUUUCAGCAGACCAUAGGCAUCUUGAGAAAUAUGUCUCUGUGUUGAAAUUGAUGUUCAUUAUGUGUGGUGGUGGGAGCACCAUGCCCUCUAUAUUCAGAAUGUAGACUCGUUUUGCUCAGUGAGAGUAAUUCUCAGGCAAAUAGUGCAUCUGAAAUCUGUGUCUAACAAACAAAUCUUGGAAAUACAGAAGUUUACACAUCUGUGCAGCUGAAGAUUGCAAAAUCGUGGCAUCCACAUCAUCAAAUGCAAGAAAGGUUGUGCUGUCACCUAAAAAUAUGUACAGGAGCAGGAAGGAGAUUGCACAUCAGAAGGUCAAAGGGAAAGGAGAUGCUGGAAAUUCAGAGGUGGCUGUUCAUUGCAUUCACUCUCCAAGGAAUUCAGAAACCAGGUACAAGGAGAAAAGACUAUCAAGAUAAUCAUCCUCAUAUAUAUGAAGGACUGUCCUUCAAAUUGAUGGAGCAGAUUUAUUUUCUGUUGAUUCAGAAAGCAGGACACAAACACAUCCAUGCAAACAAGAAGAAAGCAUUGAGAAUGACAUUUCAGAACUGAUUCUUAGAUGUAACAUCAACUCUUUCUCAAAGAACAAAUUGCUUUGGAAGGUGAUGGGCUAUUUUUGAAGUUUUGGGGAAGAGCAUAGGUGAUCAUCGUCUAUUAACAAUAUUAUAUUAAUGAAGUUCCUGUAUGAAAUAAGAGGGCUGUCUAAAUAACCUUUGAGAGUCCUUCCAAAUGUAGGAUUUUAUAAAGUGACACUUGGCACAUAAUUUCCUCUCAUUCAUCCCUAUUAUAUUUAUUUUAUUAUUUAUUUUUAACUUGUGUACUUUUACAAGCUACUUUAUAAGUAGCUACAACCUACUUGUCUAUGUUUCAAAGCCUAAAUUUUUGAACAAACAAAUUAAUGUCACCAUCAUUAUGAGCAUUGGAUAUACAUGUAUAUAGAUUUCGUAAGUCUGAUGUACUUUGAUUUCUAUCAAUGGAAUCAGAUCACAAUCUUGUCUAUCAUCUGGAUAAGAUCACUAGGAAAUAGAUGUGGCAAUCUGGUAAUAACUGGGAACCAGUAAAUUUUAGAUGGAAGGUCCAGAAACACAAUUAUCCUAUCUAAAGGAGGUUGCAAUUAAAAGCAGUGAGAGUCAGAGGUAUAUAAGGGAUAUCAGGAAUGUAUCUUAACUACUGAAGAAAGAAAAUACAAGUUUAAAUUCAUUUCUGUAUAAAUAAGUAUAAUGCAUAACAGUAACAAGAAAGCAUGCCUAAGAAAUUGGAGGAGGGGAGGGGGAGAGAGAGGAAGAAAAAAUUCAAUUUGUAUGAGAUUCAACUAUUUUGACAAUUUCUGUGCUUCAUUUUGGUAAACCAACAAUGAACUCUGUUGAAUUCACUGACACAAUUUACUCCCAAAUUAGUAUCAACUAAAAUAGUAUUUUAGUGGAAGACUAAAUAUAGAUAUAUAUAUUUUUGCUCACGGACAACAGAACAGAUCUCUUCCUAUUUUUUUUCUCAUACACACACAUUCAUAAAAGAUGGUUCAAUAUAUACACAGCUAAUUUAAACAAAACUAAUGCUCCAGAUAUAUUUCCAAAUAUUUUAAAUUACUGUCAUAUUUGUUAUAUGGCAAUAUAGUUCUUUGCAAAAAUAACAGUAUCCAAGCCCAAUGAAUCAUUUUCCAAGCUGGAGGUUUUAAAAGACAUUUAAUUUAUUUUACCCUUGGUAGAAAUAACUUCCAUAAAUUUUAAAGUUGUAGUUGCAAUCUGUACAUGCUUGUGCUAAUUGCAAUUGACGUAAUAUCUCCAUAACAGUAUAUCAUAUUUUAAAGGGGAACAAUAUUUUAUAGCUGCAAACAUGCGAUCAAUGCACAUUCAAGUAUAUACAUUCAAAGUGUAAAGCACAAUUAUUUUUUUGCAGCUUUAAAAAAAAAAUCCAAAUGCAUUUUUCCCAGCAGUUUAAUGCCGAUAAGUUGACUGAGAAUCCAGAAUCCAGGUUUAUGUUAGCUUAAGAUUCAGAUCUCCUGAUCAACAUGGAAAUAUGAGUGAACAUGCAGAAGGAAACUAUUUAUUUUCCUUGAUAAGGUGAACUAAAGAGCCAUUUCCUUUUCUUUCGUGGGUAAAUGAGGCUGACUAUAAAUUAAACACACUACCUUUCAAAUGGGGCUGUCCAGAUCUAGGGACUUUGUCCAAAGAGGGGAGUGUUUCUCACUUCUCUAAAAUUGACAGCCCCUAUUUCCAAAUUCUAUGAUUUACUUAAGUAGAGACAGGGCAGAGCAAAUGGUAUUUACUUUUUAUGAAGGCAGAACUUGCUACUAAAGAAGUGAUGCUGGUGCCACAGGACCCAGGGGGCAUCUGAGGUCAGAUCUCUAACACUGGGGCAGUUUUGCGCAAUGAUAAGCAUCUCUUGUUAAAGGCAGCAGCUUCCCUUUUGAUUUGGGUGGAGGGGGAUAGUAUGGGUUCAGGUCCAGUUAUUGCCUCAAGACUUUGAAAGCAGUGAGGGCUCUGUUAGAAGGUGGCUCCUAACAGAACCCUUUAGUGUAUUGUUAAGAAAAGGAAAAGCAUGCAAAGGAAGAGAUAAAGAUUGGUGUACUUAGACUGAGGCUCCUCAACUCAUGUGUGGGUCUGUUCUCUUCCCCACCUCUCCUUUUGAGCAACAUUGGCAGCCCCAUCUAUGUUCAAGACAACAUAGAGAAGUACAUGCUAUUGGUUUCAGAGAAGACACUUGGUGCUAGUAAAAUAUAGUCCAAUGGUAUCACACAGCAGCAUAUUUCAAUAUCUUCUUCACGUUGUUUUAAAAAUCCAAAUGUCACUUAGAAUAUAUCCACUGCCAAUUUUGUCCCAAUUGAAUUUAACUAUUGUAAUAUUAGGAUAGAUGUGUUGUAAUAAAUUAACCAUCUAGUUUUAAAAGAGAUUACUUGGAUUCUGGUUCAUAUGUUCAUAUGGAUAUUAAUGUUCAAAAUCUACAUACAUAUGCCUUGCUAGACAAUGAAAUAAAAUAAUAAUAAUAACUUUAUUGUCAUUGUAUACCCAUACUGUGUAUACACGGUAUACCCAUACAAUGAAAUUCACUUAACACCCAAAGACCAGGUCCAACACACAUAAUAAUCCCCAAACACUCUUCCACCCACCACAAUUCCCCACCCCUAAACCAUCCAAACAUCCACACAACAGACCAAGUAAUGCUAUCUAACAGCUCACUGAUGGUAGCCCUUUAGUUCAUUGUUAAGUGCAAAAUCAUAACUACAAAAGAGAAUUAAGUAGAAUAUUAACUAAGAUCUAAAGGUUGUCUCAACAGGGCUCCAUGAACUUCCAUUCCACAAUCAAAUAUGAUAACAGUUAAAGUUAUUAACUAUCUGAAGUCAGCUUUUCACCUGACAGGUCCUUUCAGAAAUGUUAUAUUAUAAAAGUGAAGAGGACUCCCAUUUUGGAAAACCAAAUUCAUUGCAAACUAGGAAGAACAAGAAUAAUAACAACAAAUACAACUGGAUUCUACAGAAACAGAAAUUCCAAAUAUUUCUGUCCUGCUCACCAUUCAUAAUAAUUAUUUUUACAAGUUUCUUGCACAAAAGAAGAAUAUAAUAGAAGAUGACCUGGAUGUAUUUUUUCACUAAUAUCCUUAUAGGCAAUAUUUUGUUUUUAAUUAGAAAACAUAAAAUCCUGCUUCAGAAACAUUACUAUUUAAUUGCAAGUGAUGGUCCUUAGAAAAAAGUACCAUAAUUUGUACAUUUUGAUAAAGACGUUGAUAACUGGUGCCUUUUAAAAGUUUUAUUGAAGAAUCUAAAGAAGCAAAUUCUAUAAGAUCUUAUAAAAGAUCUAAAACAAACAAACAAAAAUGUCUGUUUUAGCUAUCUUCUCCUAGCCUUUAAUCUUUUACAGGAAAAUCAUACUUCCAUAUUUGAAGACAAUGAUUUAUUUCAGCUUUUUGCCUUGUUUCCAGUGAAAAGAAAGCAAAAAUAGAAAAAAUAAGGAAUAUUUUAACACAAUUCAGCCAUAGUUCUACAAAAUAUUUUACAGCAAGUCUAGUUUAAGAGUAAGCAGUUUUUCACAGGGAAGAGGGGUGUCUAAUCCAAUGAGUAGAAAUUAUGCCAGUUUAAGGAAGCCUCACCUGAAUUCCAAAAUCCAGCUUCAUCUCUCAAGGCUAUCAUCACUUUACAACCUGUUCUAGGUUCUGAACAAGGAAUAGAAAAUUGAAUAUAGAAGAUAUUGAGGAAAAUGCCUCAAAUUUUUAUGAUUCUGAAAAUGUUGAUUUAUUGUACUAGUUAGUCUAAUGAAGGAGAGAAUCAGAAACGUUACUGCUGCAAAUCAUACCUUAUUUUUCUAUGCUGAGAUUCUAUAGCCCUCACCUUGAUGAAACCUUAAGACCAUGUCAUAGACUAGAGAAGGUAGUAGGUCCCCUGGUGGUUGCCUGAUUUAUUUGAGAGAUAGUAAUUUUUCCCAUUGAAAUUCUUCUUGAAUUUUGUACUGAAUGGGUUUUUUUUAUUUAUAUUAUGUACCACCAAAGUGGUAUUGGCAUUGGUGGCUUAUGAACAUAACCACAUAAAUUAAACAUAAUGGAUAAAAGUCAGAAGUAAAUAUAAGUUACAAUAUGAUAAAAUAUCAAAGUAACAUUGAACUUUAUUUAUUUAUUUUAUUUAUUGUCAUAUUUAUAUGCUGCCCUUCUCCCGAGGGACUCGGAGCGGCUCACAGAAUAAAACAAUCAACAAUAAGUAGAAUUAAAAUGUUAAAAUCCAAUUUAAAACCCCAAAUCCCCUAAAUUAAAAUGCACGGCAGAUCAGGGAAUUUGCUGAACUAAUGCAAACUAAACAUGUUAGGCUUAGAAAGAAAACUUUUCAACUAAAAUCACUUCAGGGAGACUGCUCUCUGUCUCACGCAAUCAGAAGUGGUAUUCAGCCGGUUUGAACUGGUUCGGAUGAACUGGUAAUGGAAAUUUUAACUGGUUUGGCAAACCGGCAAAUACCACCUCUGGCUGGCCCCACCCCUGCCCGCCCGGUUGCCCAGUCAUCCUGCUCACCUAGUCACUGCUCACUUACCCGCCAGUCCGCUCAUCCUGUCCACCCAGCCCACCCCUGUCCUACCUCCACCCUACCCUAUAAAUGUUACUUUUGCCAUGUGGCCUCACCUCCAUGCCUUGCCCGCUCUGCUCACCAAAAGUAAGCAUUUCCCAGCUCCAGCCUGGCUUCACCUGGAGCCUCUGCCAGCUCCCCGUUCACCUUGGCUGGGUCAGGGAAUGUGCCAUUUCCUGACUCUGGCCUUCCCCAGGACCUCUGCCCGCAUGCUGCCCACUCACCCUCCACCUUGCUGAUCUUCAUCUGUGCUUUGGUGCGGUCCCUGGAGAGGCUCGGCUGGCAAGCCUCCAGCCGCCAGUAGUUUUCAGCUGCAUUCCAAGCAGCUCCACUGCAACACCAUCCCUCCGCUGCAGCAGGCCAUUCUCCUGGCCGGGUCUGGCCACAAGCAGCACCGGCAAUGGGGUGCCGGUGCUGGCAGGCAAUGGGGUGCGCAUACGUGGCUGGUGUGAAGAACAGGGCAGCAACAGUGGCGACGGGACUUUUUCAGGCCUCUUUUUCAUCCUGUAGUUUUUGGUAGUUUUCAGCGCAGGAAGUCUGCAGUUGCCUCCUCUUUUUUAGCAUGAGACGCCUCCAGCUGCCACUAAUGCCUCGGUUCUGGCUGGCAAAGAGGCAGCGGCUGCAGGCUUCUUGCCCCGAAAUAACUACUGAAAACUACAAACCAAAAAAGAGGCCUGAAAUCCCAUCACCGCCCUAUUCUUCAUCACAUUGUCUGCCGGUGCACGUGGAUGGCCACAUCCCAUUGCCAGACCUGGCCAGGAGAAUGGCCUGCUGCACUGGAGGGAUGGCAUCACAGCGGAGUUGCUCAGAAGGCAGCCAGGCUGCGGUGUCCCUUUAAGGUACUUCGAUGCAGAGGGGACCAUAAAGGGACAGGCCAGUGGCCAUGGCUUGGUGCGGUCAUGUGACUGAGUGGGCAUGGUUAACUUCAUUUUGCCCCAUCGUGAGUAAGUAGAGUUGCCACACUCAUUCAGUCACAUGACACCCACCAAGUCAUGCCCACAGAACCGGUAGUAGAAAAAUUUGAAUCCUACCACUGCACAUAAUCACAGUUUCUGUAGAAUGUGUUCUUAGUCUAUUUGGUUUACCAGAAUCUGAUGGCACUCUUGCUGAAAUUAAAAAUAAAGUUUGACACAACAAUUUUGCUUGCUUGGAAAUAACAGGCUGUGUAUAAUGAGGAAACUGGAAAUGCCAAAAUAUUAUAUUGGCUAAGAAUUCUGGGAUUUGUCCUAUUUACCCUGGAAAGGCUGAGUUAAGCAUUUAGUCUCCACAUGGGUCUUCUUUAAUUCUUACAUUCUUAACAUUUUGGGUUAAAAAUAUAUGAUUCAUCUAGUCAAGUAUUUAACCUUUUUUCUUGUAGUUUAAUUUCCAUCACCUGCUAUUCAGUAAUCCAGUCUUGUGUUAAAUAAUUUCUAAACCAGAGAAUGCCUCCUUCUACUUAUUCUCAGAUUCCUAUUUAUGAAUUUUAGUGGCGGAACCAAGACAAGGACAUCACUAGGAAGGAUUUUAAAAUCUACAAGAAACCAGGUGCAACAUCAUGAGAGAGCAAUUUGGUCAAGUGGUUAAGGCACAAAGCUAAAAAGUGGGUAUGAACCAUGCAUUCUAGUUCCAAUUUAGUCAUGAAAUCCAGCUGGUGACCUUGGGCCACUCAUUCUCUCUCAGUCCAACUCACCUUACAGGGUUGUUGUUGUGCGGGAAAUAGGAAGAAGAAGAUGCGUUGGACAUGUUCACCACCCUGAAUUCUUUGUAAAAGAAAAUAAAGGUGGAAUACAAACAAAUAAACAAAUAACUAUCAAGUUCUACCACUAUUAUACAUGUGUAUGAAUUAAUGCACAUAGGUGUAUGAGAGGUGGGGAUAGUUCAAGAUGCCACAUCCAUAACUGAUAGAUUUUUAACUCUCCCUUUGGACACAACUAAACCACCAUGUAAUGUGAGAGGGUGCAGCAAUAUUAGUUACCAACCCCUUUCUUUGUACAAUGCUCAACUAUAUAUUAUUGAAUUCUGCCUCAUUCAUUACUAUCUAAAUUAAACUCCUUCAAAAUUGCUAUA